CCUACGGGUGGCAGCAGUCGAGAAUCAUUCACAAUGGGGGAAACCCUGAUGGUGCGACGCCGCGUGGGGGAAUGAAGGUCUUCGGAUUGUAAACCCCUGUCAUGUGGGAGCAAAUUAAAAAGAUAGUACCACAAGAGGAAGAGACGGCUAACUCUGUGCCAGCAGCCGCGGUAAUACAGAGGUCUCAAGCGUUGUUCGGAAUCACUGGGCGUAAGGCGUGCGUAGGCUGUUUCGUAAGUCGUGUGUGAAAGGCGCGGGCUCAACCCGCGGACGGCACAUGAUACUGCGAGACUAGAGUAAUGGAGGGGGAACCGGAAUUCUCGGUGUAGCAGUGAAAUGCGUAGAUAUCGAGAGGAACACUCGUGGCGAAGGCGGGUUCCUGGACAUUAACUGACGCUGAGGCACGAAGGCCAGGGGAGCGAAAGGGAUGAGAUACCCGUGUAGUC
rnacentral:rRNA from 1 species